rnacentral:rRNA from 1 species
AGCGAACGCUGGCGGCAGGCCUAACACAUGCAAGUCGAACGGACCCUUCGGGGUUAGUGGCGGACGGGUGAGUAACACGUGGGAACGUGCCUUUAGGUUCGGAAUAGCUCCUGGAAACGGGUGGUAAUGCCGAAUGUGCCCUUCGGGGGAAAGAUUUAUCGCCUUUAGAGCGGCCCGCGUCUGAUUAGCUAGUUGGCGAGGUAAUGGCUCACCAAGGCGACGAUCAGUAGCUGGUCUGAGAGGAUGACCAGCCACACUGGGACGUGAGACACGGCCCAGACUCCUACGGGAGGCAGCAGUGGGGAAUCUUGCGCAAUGGGCGAAAGCCUGACGCAGCCAUGCCGCGUGAAUGAUGAAGGUCUUAGGAUUGUAAAAUUCUUUCACCGGGGACGAUAAUGACGGUACCCGGAGAAGAAGCCCCGGCUAACUUCGUGCCAGCCGCCGCAGUAA